GGCUCAGUAGCUUAGUUGGUAAAGCACUUGUCUAGCGAAUAAGGGUCGUGAAUUCAAAUCUCACCUGAGCUG
rnacentral:tRNA from 1 species